UGGUUAGGUUAAUUAAACUUUAUAGAUUGCUUUUAUAAGAUUUGCAGUCAUAGUAAUUGU
rnacentral:tRNA from 1 species